GCUGAAAUGCACACGCAUGCAGGGCUUGUGGACAUGCAACAGGGAGAGAGAUGGUUGAGUGAUGGGCUGCCACAUUAGCAGCGCUGCAUGAGCGGGCUUGCCUUGCUCAAGGGCACCUCGGCAGUCCACAGGAGGUGGAACUGGCACCUCUCCAGCUACCAGGCCACGUUCCAUAUUGUGGUCUGUGGGAUUUGAACCUGCGACCCUCCAGUUCCCAAGCCAAGUCCCUACACACUGAGCUUCUUUCUUUCUUUCUUUCUUUCUUUCUUUCUUUCUUUCUUUUACUCUUGUUGUAUUCCUGUCCCAUAUGUACUUGUCUACUUUUUCUUUUUUUUCUGUCUUCUUCUUUCCCUUUUUCUAUUUUCGGCUAAAACACCACUUCCCCUUGUUGCUUCUCAACACUUACAAAUACGCACACGCACACACACACACACACACACACACACACACACACACACACACACACUGAAGUCCUUUACAAUAGGCUGCACUGUACCCAUUUUCAUCUAUCAUCUAUCUCUAACCUAACCCAUGUUGAUUUAUUGAUUUAUUUGUCUUUGUUUGUUUUGGUCACACAAUGUGUCUUGUUUCACCUGUCUGUUUUCACAAAAUUAAAAGAAUUUUAGAAAAAGAGCCUGUCCCUGUCUGGUGUGAUUCAAUAUACAAUGUCAUAUACAAGUGUUAAUAAUAUAAAGAGAAAGCAGUUAUAGCUAAAUGAUAAUAAGAAUACUAGAAUGAGAAUAAUCCUUUUACUAGGACAGCUGGCAGUGGUACUGCAGUGUUUAAUGGGGAUCAUCAGUGUAUCAGGUAGUUUUGUCUCAUAUGAACCACAGUGCUGUCAGACAGGAAGUUGCAGUCAGUAUUUUAGCUUUCCACUCACGGGUGAUAUGAACAAGUUUCCCUGAAAGCUUCAGAGAUCUGACACAUCCAAAAACAACCAUGGCGUUCCACAUGAGGAUCAUCAUCAUUUUCAUAGUGAUAAGCUCAUCUGCUACUGAGAAAGUGACGAACCUGACAGGCACUGAGGGAGGAUCCAUCACUCUACCUGACCCUGUGGUGAAGCAUGGAUUUCUCCUCUUUGGAGGAAAGAAUGUUGCUAUGGUGAUUAACGGGAAUUCCAUGAUAUAUGAGGAAACUUUGAAGGACAAAGUUCUGUGGGACAAAAGCACUGGACUGUUUACAAUCACAGGACUGCAGAGGAACGACUCAGGGAUUUAUGUUAUUGACCCUAAAACAGGAAUCGCGUCCACUACAACCUAUCAACUCACAGUGUAUGAACCCGUCCCUCCUCCUGCAGUGAAGUCAGUGAGUGUGAGCACUGAGAGCUGCAUCCUGCUGUGUUCGGUGGAGAAAGCUGAAGGGACGACACUGCUGUGA
rnacentral:lncRNA from 15 species